GACGAACGCUGGCGGCGUGCUUAACACAUGCAAGUCGAGCGGUAAGGCCCUUUCGGGGGUACGACGAGCGGCGAACGGGUGAGUAACACGUGGGUGACCUGCCCUCAGCUCUGGGAUAAGCCUGGGAAACCGGGUCUAAUACUGGAUAUGACUCCAUGACGCAUGUUGUGGGGUGGAAAGCCUUGUGCGGCUGAGGAUGGGCCCGCGGCCUAUCAGCUUGUUGGUGGGGUGANGGCCUACCAAGGCGACGACGGGUAGCCGGCCUGAGAGGGCGACCGGCCACACUGGGACGUGAGACACGGCCCAGACUCCUACGGGAGGCAGCAGUGGGGAAUCUUGCGCAAUGGGCGAAAAGCCUGACGCAGCGACGCCGCGUGAGGGAUGACGGCCU
rnacentral:rRNA from 1 species